rnacentral:rRNA from 1 species
AACGAACGCUGGCGGCAUGCCUAACACAUGCAAGUCGAACGCGUGUAGCAAUACACGAGUGGCGGACGGGUGAGUAUCGCGUGGGAACCUGCCCAGUGGUAGGGAAUAACUGCGGGAAACUGCAGCUAAUACCCUAUACGCCCUUUGGGGAAAGAUUCAUCGCCAUUGGAGGGGCCCGCGUCGGAUUAGCUAGUUGGCGGGGUAACGGCCCACCAAGGCAACGAUCCGUAGCGGUCUGAGAGGAUGAUCAGCCACACUGGGACUGAGAUACGGCCCAGACUCCUACGGGAGGCAGCAGUGGGGAAUAUUGGACAAUGGGGGAAACCCUGAUCCAGCAAUGCCGCGUGAGUGAAGAAGGCCUUCGGUUGUUAAGAC